rnacentral:sRNA from 1 species
ACUUUCCUGCCCCUUCCCCGGCCAAGCCCAACUCCGGAUCUCGCUCUCCACCGGAUCUCACCCGCCACACCCGGACGGGCGGCUGGAGGAGGCGGGCGCCUAAAAUUCUGGGAAGCAGAACCUGGCCGGAGCCACUAGACAGAGCCGGGCCUAGCCCAGAGACAUGGAGAGUUGCUACAACCCAGGUCUGGAUGGUAUUAUUGAAUAUGAUGAUUUCAAAUUAAACUCCUCCAUUGUGGAACACAAGGAGCCAGCCCCAGAAACAGCUGAUGGCCCCUACCUGGUGAUCGUGGAACAGCCUAAGCAGAGAGGCUUCCGAUUUCGAUAUGGCUGUGAAGGCCCCUCCCAUGGAGGAUUGCCCGGUGCCUCCAGUGAGAAGGGCCGAAAGACCUAUCCCACUGUCAAGGUGAGCCAGGAUGGUGCUGGAGGGUGGGCUAAGUGGACAGCAUGCCCAAGGCCCUGACUGACAGUCCCUGCCUCUCCUAGAUCUGUAACUACGAGGGACCAGCCAAGAUCGAGGUCGACCUGGUAACACACAGUGACCCACCUCGUGCUCAUGCCCACAGUCUGGUGGGCAAGCAAUGCUCGGAGCUGGGGAUCUGCGCUGUUUCUGUGGGGCCCAAGGACAUGACUGCCCAAUUUAACAACCUGGGUGUCCUGCAUGUGACUAAGAAGAACAUGAUGGGGACUAUGAUACAAAAACUUCAGAGGCAGCUGCUCCGCUCUAGGCCCCAGGGCCUUACGGAGGCUGAGCAGCGGGAGCUGGAGCAAGAGGCCAAAGAACUGAAGAAGGUGAUGGAUCUGAGUAUAGUGCGGCUGCGCUUCUCUGCCUUCCUUCGAGCCAGUGAUGGCUCCUUCUCCCUGCCCCUGAAGCCAGUCAUCUCCCAGCCCAUCCAUGACAGCAAAUCUCCGGGAGCAUCAAACCUGAAGAUUUCUCGAAUGGACAAGACAGCAGGCUCUGUGCGGGGUGGAGAUGAAGUUUAUCUGCUUUGUGACAAGGUGCAGAAAGAUGACAUUGAGGUUCGGUUCUAUGAGGAUGAUGAGAAUGGAUGGCAGGCCUUUGGGGACUUCUCUCCCACAGAUGUGCAUAAACAGUAUGCCAUUGUGUUCCGGACACCCCCCUACCACAAGAUGAAGAUUGAGCGGCCGGUAACAGUGUUCCUACAACUGAAACGCAAGCGAGGAGGGGACGUGUCUGAUUCCAAACAGUUCACCUAUUACCCUCUGGUGGAAGACAAGGAAGAGGUGCAGCGGAAGCGGAGGAAGGCCUUACCCACCUUCUCCCAGCCCUUCGGGGGUGGCUCCCACAUGGGUGGAGGCUCUGGGGGUGCAGCCGGGGGCUACGGAGGAGCUGGAGGAGGUGAGGGGGUACUGAUGGAGGGAGGGGCAAAGGUAAGAGAAGCUGUGGAGAAAAAAAAUCUGGGAGAGGCCGGGCGUGGUGGCUCACGCCUGUAAUCCAGCCCUGUGGGAGGCCAAGGCAGGCGGAUUACCUGAGAUCAGGAGUUCAAGACCAGCCUGGCCAACAGCGUGGAACCUCGUCUCUACUAAAAAUACAAACGUUAGCUGGGCAUGGUGGCAGGCGCCUGUAAUCCCAGCUACUCGGGAGGCUGAGGCAGGAGAAUCGCUGGAACCCUGGGAGACAGAGGUUGCAGUGAGCCGAGAUCGCGCCACUGCACUCCAGGCUAGGCAAUAAGAGCGAAACUCCGUCUCAAA